rnacentral:lncRNA from 1 species
CAGAAGCUUCAGGAUCACCGAAGGGGGGCUAGAGGGGGGCCAAGGGCCUCCCAGGCGGCGAGGACCUAGGCCGCGCCAGGAGGUCGUUUGGGCAGGGCCCACCUCCUCGGGUGCCCUCCUUUGGCCUAUAUUUAGAGUCCCGAGAGGAAACCCUGACAGACAAUCUGGAAUCGUGAAUUUCUCCACCGUUCUGUCGCCGCAGCUCUUCCGAGAUUGAGAGCGUCAGGAGACCUCUUCCCGGCAACCUGCCGGUGGAAGGAUUGACCUUCGGGAGCUUCUCCACCACCAUGGAUGCUUCCCGGAUGUGCCGUGAGUAGUUUCCCUUGGACCAUGACUCCAUGGCCAGUAGCUAUGUGAUGUCUUCUCUCCAAUCUUGUGCUUCAAUGGUUAGUCCAUGUGAGCUGCCCUACAU